AGUUUGAUCCUGGCUCAGAACGAACGCUGGCGGCAGGCUUAACACAUGCAAGUCGAACGCUCCGCAAGGAGAGUGGCAGACGGGUGAGUAACGCGUGGGAAUCUACCCAACCCUGCGGAAUAGCUCUGGGAAACUGGAAUUAAUACCGCAUACGCCCUACGGGGGAAAGAUUUAUCGGGGAUGGAUGAGCCCGCGUUGGAUUAGCUAGUUGGUGGGGUAAAGGCCUACCAAGGCGACGAUCCAUAGCUGGUCUGAGAGGAUGAUCAGCCACAUUGGGACUGAGACACGGCCCAAACUCCUACGGGAGGCAGCAGUGGGGAAUAUUGGACAAUGGGCGCAAGCCUGAUCCAGCCAUGCCGCGUGGGUGAAGAAGGCCUUCGGGUUGUAAAGCCCUUUUGUUGGGAAAGAAAAGCAGUCGGUUAAUACCCGAUUGUUCUGACGGUACCCAAAGAAUAAGCACCGGCUAACUUCGUGCCAGCAGCCGCGGUAA
rnacentral:rRNA from 1 species